GAUGAACGCUAGCGGUGUGCCUAAUGCAUGCAAGUCGAACGGCAGGUCUCAAUUACGAUUGAGACCGAGAGUGGCGGACGGGUGAGUAACACGUAGGUGACCUGCCCUGGAGAGGGGAAUAACCAGUGGAAACGCUGGCUAAUACCCCGGAUGUCAAGGGUCUUAGAAACUAUUGACUAAAGCUUCGGUGCUCUGGGAGGGGCCUGCGGCCCAUCAGCUAGUUGGUGAGGUAACGGCUCACCAAGGCGAAGACGGGUAGGGGGCGUGAGAGCGUCGACCCCCCANACUGGUACUGAGAAACGGACCAGAUACCUACGGGUAGCAGCAGCAAGGAAUAUUGCCCAAUGGACGGAAGUCUGAGGCAGCAACACCGCGUGGAGGACGAAGG
rnacentral:rRNA from 1 species